rnacentral:tRNA from 1 species
AGAAAGAUAAGCUAAAACAAUAAGCUUUUAGGUUCAUACCCUGAAAAUAGAAUAUAAUUCUUCUUUCUA